rnacentral:sRNA from 1 species
UGUUUGCACUUAGCGGGAAGGGUAAGAACCUUCGACUAAGGUUCGACUCGAGCGCCAGCGAGAGAACGUUGCCGCAGGCAACGGCCCGAAGGG